GAUGAACGCUGGCGGCGUGCCUAACACAUGCAAGUCGAGCGAACAGACGAGGAGCUUGCUCCUCUGACGUUAGCGGCGGACGGGUGAGUAACACGUGGAUAACCUACCUAUAAGACUGGGAUAACUUCGGGAAACCGGAGCUAAUACCGGAUAAUAUAUUGAACCGCAUGGUUCAAUAGUGAAAGACGGUUUUGCUGUUACUUAUAGAUGGAUCCGCGCCGCAUUAGCUAGUUGGUAAGGUAACGGCUUACCAAGGCAACGAUGCGUAGCCGACCUGAGAGGGUGAUCGGCCACACUGGAACUGAGACACGGUCCAGACUCCUACGGGAGGCAGCAGUAGGGAAUCUUCCGCAAUGGGCGAAAGCCUGACGGAGCAACACCGCGUGAGUGAUGAAGGUCUUCGGAUCGUAAAGCUCUGUUAUUAGGAAAGAACAAAUGUGUAAGUAACUAUGCACGUCUUGACGGUACCUAAACAGAAAGCCACGGCUAACUACGUG
rnacentral:rRNA from 1 species